rnacentral:rRNA from 1 species
GUCUACGGCCAUGCCACCCUGAACAAGCCCGAUCCCAUCUGAUCUCGGAAGCUAAGCAGGGUGGGGCCUGGUUAGUACUUGGAUGGGAGACCACCCAGGAAGACCAGGUGCUGUAGGCG